rnacentral:rRNA from 1 species
CUUGCUUGUUGGGGUUGUAGGACACUCUAUACGGAGUUACAAAGGACGACAUUAGACGAAUCAUCUGGAAAGAUGAAUCAAAGAAGGUAAUAAUCCUGUAGUCGAAAAUGUUGUCUCUCUUGAGUGGAUCCUGAGUACGACGGAACACGUGAAAUUCCGUCGGAAUCUGGGAGGACCAUCUCCUAAGGCUAAAUACUCUCUAGUGACCGAUAGUGAACCAGUACCGUGAGGGAAAGGUGAAAAGCACCCCGGAAGGGGAGUGAAAUAGAACCUGAAACCGUGUGCUUACAAGUAGUCAGAGCCCGUUAAUGGGUGAUGGCGUGCCUUUUGUAGAAUGAACCGGCGAGUUACGAUUUGAUGCAAGGUUAAGCAGUAAAUGUGGAGCCGUAGCGAAAGCGAGUCUGAAUAGGGCGUUUAGUAUUUGGUCGUAGACCCGAAACCAGGUGAUCUACCCUUGGUCAGGUUGAAGUUCAGGUAACACUGAAUGGAGGACCGAACCGACUUACGUUGAAAAGUGAGCGGAUGAACUGAGGGUAGCGGAGAAAUUCCAAUCGAACCUGGAGAUAGCUGGUUCUCUCCGAAAUAGCUUUAGGGCUAGCCUCAAGUGAUGAUUAUUGGAGGUAGAGCACUGUUUGGACGAGGGGCCCCUCUCGGGUUACCGAAUUCAGACAAACUCCGAAUGCCAAUUAAUUUAACUUGGGAGUCAGAACAUGGGUGAUAAGGUCCGUGUUCGAAAGGGAAACAGCCCAGACCACCAGCUAAGGUCCCAAAAUAUAUGUUAAGUGGAAAAGGAUGUGGCGUUGCCCAGACAACUAGGAUGUUGGCUUAGAAGCAGCCAUCAUUUAAAGAGUGCGUAAUAGCUCACUAGUCGAGUGACACUGCGCCGAAAAUGUACCGGGGCUAAACAUAUUACCGAAGCUGUGGAUUGUCCUUUGGACAAUGGUAGGAGAGCGUUCUAAGGGCGUUGAAGCAUGAUCGUAAGGACAUGUGGAGCGCUUAGAAGUGAGAAUGCCGGUGUGAGUAGCGAAAGACGGGUGAGAAUCCCGUCCACCGAUUGACUAAGGUUUCCAGAGGAAGGCUCGUCCGCUCUGGGUUAGUCGGGUCCUAAGCUGAGGCCGACAGGCGUAGGCGAUGGAUAACAGGUUGAUAUUCCUGUACCACCUAUAAUCGUUUUA